rnacentral:tRNA from 1 species
UCUCUGGUGGUCCAGUGGCUAAGACUUUGUUCUCCCAAGGCAGGGGGCCUGGGUUCAAGCCUUGGUCAGGGAA